UCGUGAUCGAGGCAGCAGUAGGGAAUGUUGCACAAGGGAGGAAAGUCUGAUGGAGCAACGCCGCGUGAGUGAUGAAGGUUUUGGGAUCGUAAAACUCUUCGGUAGGGAAGAACAAGUACCAUCGAAUAAGCCGGCACCUUGACGGUAGGAACCAGAAAGCCACGGCUAACUACGUGCCAGCAGCCGCGGUAAU
rnacentral:rRNA from 1 species